rnacentral:rRNA from 1 species
CCUACGGGUGGCAGCAGUGGGGAAUAUUGCACAAUGGGCGGAAGCCUGAUGCAGCAACGCCGCGUGCGGGAUGACGGCCUUCGGGUUGUAAACCGCUUUCACCCAUGACGAAGCGCGAGUGACGGUAGUGGGGGAAGAAGCACCGGCCAACUACGUGCCAGCAGCCGCGGUGAUACGUAGGGUGCGAGCGUUGUCCGGAAUUAUGGGGCGUAAAGAGCUUGUAGGCGGUUGAUCGCGUCGAUAGUGAAAUCCCGGGGCUCAACCUCGGGCUUGCUGUCGAUACGGGUUGACUUGAGGAAGGUAGGGGAGAAUGGAACUCCCGGUGGAGCGGUGGAAUGCGCAGAUAUCGGGAAGAACACCGGUGGCGAAGGCGGUUCUCUGGACCUUUCCUGACGCUGAGAAGCGAAAGCGUGGGGAGCAAACAGGCUUAGAUACCCCUGUAGUC